rnacentral:lncRNA from 1 species
GAAAAUACUGCCCUCCAGUGGUCUUCCCUGGAGAAAUGGAAAUAGUUUCAGGUACCAUGACUGCAGCACUUCUAUAAAACAUUGUGUAUAUAUCUAGUCUCAUUUCUGGCUAUAUUUCUUAAGCUGAAGCCUAUGUCUACAACUGAGCAUAAGGACAAAACCUCUGAAGUAAAUUCUAGUUUACAAGUAGCGACUCCAGUUAAAUAGUCCUAUUAGAUAGGGGGAAUGAUUAUGGCUGUCUGACCCCCAAAGCUGACCAUUCAUUUGACAGUCACAAUUGGAUUAUGUUAGCCACCUAUGCUUCUCACUUCCCAGAUAAGGAAAAAGAGAUUUCAUCUCUAUGUUUCCCUUGUUGGCCAAUUUUUUAGCUAAAAGACAUUUAAAAUUGUACAGCAGGCAGAACCCCAGGGGACUGAACAGUGUUCCAACAUCCUUAAAGGCUUCCCAUCACUUGAAAAACCAAAUUCUUCCUCCUGUUUCUUAAACUAACCAAAGUAGGCAAAAGCAAUUUUAAAAAGUCUUUGUGUCUAGCAUUGGAAGUUUCUCAUAUUUCACACCAUUAUAUAAAUGUCACUCUAACCUAUAUGUAUCACAAAUGCUACGCUAAAUUAGGGCCAAAUUUGCAACCUAGUUUAACUGGGUUUCCUCUUUUUGCAAAUGCAGUUUUUGUGUCUGCAUUUAGCAAUGCAUACAAAACUGUCCGUGUAGCUAACUGCUUCGAAUUGCUAAAUUUGAAGAUGGAUGUGUAGAUCGCCUGAGUCUUUAUGCCUGUGCCAAAGCAAUCCUGUUUCUAGUCAUAUAGAGUCUUCCUAAUCAAAUGGACCUCAAUUACACUGCUAAAUUUUUGGACUACUUCAUUGAGUCUUUUGGAUUUAGGAAAGCAAAAAUGGAAUUUUAAGAGGAGAGAGGUGGUAUCCUAACCUCCCAUGUGUCUAUCCUUCAGACACCAGAAUGUUAGUACCUUGCAUAAGAGCAAGGGCUAGAGUCCCACAGCCCUAGGGGCUCAUCCGUUACCAGCUCUGUGACUUAAACUUAGCCUCAUUUUCCUCAUCAGUGGAUAAAGUUAAUAAUGACCGUCACAAUCACCAUCACUGCUUAGACUAUUAAACCAAUGGGCAAGUAAAUGUCCUAGAGGCAUGAUUUUCUAAAAUUAUUACUCUUGUACCAUUUUAAGUAAAAUCCCCUCAUUCAGUUUAAUAUAUAGAAGCUGUCCUGAGUCCUCCCAAAAACUUCUCCAAAACAAAUGCCCUGAGCUAAGAUAAAAUAUAUUAAUGUCAUACGGCUCAAAUAUAGCAUCUUUAUAUGAAUAAAGUUUUUCUUCGUUUCAAUCCCACAGAAGAUGGUAUCUAUUAUAUUUUCACCUGGUUCACAAAGCACUUCAGAAUUUUAAAAUUGACAAACAUAAGAAUUAUAAUUAUGAUGAAAGUGGUAGAGGAUUUAGACAUAGUUGGGUACACUGGCCUGAACCGUGAAGUCUUUGGUCUUGAGAGUAUACCCGUGUUCUGGCUAUUUACUCAACUCAGAAAAUAUACACUUCAGAAAGAAAUAUUGCCUCCUUUAGGAGAUUAAUGUGCUCCCCUUUCAGAUGAAGAAAACCCUACAAACACAUUUCAAUAAGACACAUUGUUUCCCCUGAUCGCUAGCUGUGGUAAUGAGUUUUUACUGAGCCAUGGUCCCACAUCUUCACCUGCUCCCACUGUGGAAGCCAACAGCAUUCCAAAACAUAGUUUCUCUCUAGAUAUAUUAAUCCAGUGUUGUCUUCACUGUCCAUGACAUCUCACCAAUCACCUCAUUAUGAUACUUUGUGUCAUAUGACACAGAAUCUUUCAUGAAUCAAAAUGGUUCUUAUAACACCACAAACUGUUUAUGACUUAAAACAGUAGGAUAUCCUGAAUUGAGACUAAAACAAUGAUUUGAUAAAUAUGCUAUAUUAGAAAUUUUUGAGAUGAAUUUUUUAAAUGAACUUCCGUUUAAAGAUGGAGCAAAGUAAGUACAGCUAAAUAUUCCAAUAGUGUAUAUGUGUUACAAUGAACCCCUAUGUAAACAUUAUCUAUGCAUCAAUAAAUGCCAAGAAAAUAAGCUAUGUUAUAAGUGUUACAGCUAAUCUAAGUUAAUCUCAAAAUCUGACAAUGAAACAUAUAAACUUGUGACUUUCUGAAUUUUGAAAAAUGCAUCAUAUUUAUAACAGCAUCAAAAUAAUCUAAAGUCAGAACACCUUCCUUGGAUAUAAUUAUAUUAUUAUAAUUCUCUACCUUGACAGAUGACAAUUUUAGAAAAAACCUAAAUAGAACUUCUAGUAUAUGCACUAAAAUAAAAUGUUAACAGAUAGACAACUCACCAUAGUAUAAGUAACACAUUCAAAUUUAGUAAUUUAUUUUCCAGGUGGAAACCAGGCUUCUUGGAAGACUUCAAACUAUGCCAAAUGGUCUGAUUUUACCAUAGAGGUAGGCACUAAAGGACUAAAUUUACUUCUGUGUAAUUUUUGUUAACUACAUUUUGCAUGCAAAUGUCUAUACAACCAUGUUAAUGAAGUUAUAGAGAAGGAAAGUUGGCGUUCCCAUUUUUCUGUUUUAUUCAAAAGCAACUUUUCAGUUGACUCACUAUGUCAUUUUAAAUCACUUUUCAUUCAGUCAUAAGAAAACAGAAAAGCCUAACAAUGCAUUCAAAUUGGAUCACAAGUCAAGAAAAAUAAUACCUUGCUUAUGAACAGAAUACAGGCUUGACAGUUUUUCUCCUGUACCUCAAAUCUUCAACACAUAGGAUACCCCUAAUGGAAUCAGACAAAAAAAAGCUCAGUUAAUCAUAAAUAUUUAGAAAGUACAAUCUACUGAUCCAGAGUCAAUCACUAAUGGAAAAAAAUUUUGUCCUUAUUAGGAGCUCAAAAUUUUUUGAACUUAACAUGGGAUUGGAUGCUUAAUAGAUAGCUAUCAAAAAUUUUCUUUUCCAAGAAAUAUGAAAAAAUACAUUUAAGUUGUAUGUGGGUGAAUUUUCUAUUAAAAUUUUGAUCUUCAAGCUUCAAAGCCCAUGUUGGCAAUGAAAGUACUGCUUUCAAGUGGGAUGUUAAUCCCAAAUUUAUCUCAGAUUAUAACAGCGGUUUCCCUAUGGGUGUAGGAAAACGAAUAUUUUUAAAAUAAAGGCACACUUGAUUUGCAAUAAAACUGAAAGUAAUAACGUCAGAAGUGUUGGUGAUAAAAGGAGAAAAAGGCAGAGGUAACGGUCACAACUCUGUAUCGAUGGUCUAUGUUACAGCCAGGACCAAUACAAUCUCACCCCAAAACAUCCAGAAAAAUAAAGCAAAAUAAAACCUUUCACUUUCACACAUUGAAGGCAAUCAGGAUCCUCACCCAAAUUUCAAACUCCUGGAACUUGGAAAUAUCUGUAAAAACCCCAACACCAAGGUUUCUGAAACCUGCCACAUCCCAGAAGUAGGCAGCUCUUCAACCAUGGAGAUAUGACUAUUAAGAAUUCACAGAUUAUCUGAAACAUUUGCUAAUCACCCCACCCCCCUAGGCUAGAGGGAGAGGAAGACUCCAAGCAUUGGUGGAAGGCCUGCUGUGAAAAUGCCAGGCCCUUCUUAGGGGCUCAGGUUGUCCACCUAAGUCCAGCCAUAGCUAUUACAUGACCUUAUCAGAGAAAACAGUGUACUCGUGUGUGUGAGAACUGGGGUGGGGCCAGGAUGUCAAGACAUUUAACAAAUUCAUAUGAUUUUUUUUCUUUCAUCAUUUGAGCGCGUUGUGUUUAUACACGCUGGGCAAUGUAAAUCAUAAAUCUUGCUAGAUUUCUGCUAUUGCUGCUUGAAGCCUACAAACGGCAUUCCUGUCAAUGGGAGGAAGAGACAGACAGAAAUCAAGACAGAGACAGGCAGCACCCCCAGGAUGUGAAGCUUGUUCCUACUGCAAGCUGUAGUGGAAGGAGAUGAUGACAUCCAGAACAAAAUGUUUUUGCCCCGAGCAUGCUAGAGCUCUUGCUUUGUGAUCUCUGUGUAUAAGAAAGAAUGAUCAAUGGAGAGGACUUAAUUUUCCCCCUUUUCUGGAAUCAAACUAUAAGGGCUUUUUAGUUAUUUUUAAACUUCUUCCUGUAGAGUCCAUUGCUGUGUUCCAUGAAACAGACAAAACUCAGCAAGACAACAAAGACUUGAUCUGCAGGAGAGAAGGUAAUAAAGAGCAAGUCCUCUCCAGAGGGUAAUUAAUCCUUAGUCAUUCAUCCUAGAAGUCCCAGUUACAGUGGAGGUUAAUGUUCAGGUAGCUUCUUUCUAUUUUCUUUAAAAUUUUUUUAAACAUUUUUUUUUUUUUUUUUACAGAAUGUUAUACUAUUAAUUGCCAAUUUGCAUAUGUGUGCAGCUGCUGUUUUGGCUCUGAACUCAAUCCGAUAAGCUUGCUGGAGGUAUCGCAGAGCACUUGGCAGCUUUCCUAUUUGAAAAGAAAGCCUCUCCCCACUACAGAACAGCUGAUCGUCUAUCAGCCAUAGACCCUGAUGGCGUGAAUUACAAUUACACUACUUUUCACACUAAAUCUGGGUGAUAGCUACUUGGAAAGAAGUUUCAUCAUUUUUUACCACAAACUGGAAAAAGAAUUACAUGGUCAUGCUGUGCUUUUAAAGGCAGUUUGGUUCACUUUUGUCUAUUUAACACCUAAUUCCAAGAAGUCCAUAGGCAUCCAGAGAUCUGAA